GUGGGCGGAGACCUUUUAACAUCCACCCCCGCGAUUGGGCGACGCGCCGUGGCUCGCGCGGCCACUGGCCCGACUCGCUGUCAAUCAAGCUUCGUCGCCGCUUCCCGCGCCAUUCGACGUGCACGCGCGGAAGGGAACGCGCACGUCGCCGCUCUGAGACUGUCUGGAGUGUGUCUGAAAUUGACAAAAUAGGACACGGAUUUCUCCCCCCCCCGAGCUUUACCCAUUUUCUAGCUCGACUCCUUUCACCGAGGACACCUGGCCGUGGAAUGUGGAAUUUUAUUUCACUGCCACUGGACUGUGGUUUUGUGCGAAAUGGUAUUUUUGGUGGCGAAGGAGGAAGAGACGUGAAAGUUUGGUGCGUCAGCAGAUUUCGCUGAAUGCACUGACAGGUAGGAGGGUCUGCGUGUUGCGUUCAGGGUUCAUGGAAAGAGCAGCGCUGCAGCAACCAUGGAGAAAAGGAAAAGCCGGCGUGUUCGCUGGAACGGGCAUCGCUCGGCAUCUACCUGGCCCCGGCCUUCCUUACGUCUGAUGGGACCAGCUCGUUUCUGAGAAACAAACUCAGUGCUCCCACUAAUUCAACGUAAUGUGCAGAGAGCUGGGAGAAGGCUUGGAGAAAGAUGUCAUGCGCGGGAUGGGCUGCUGCGCGUGCCGAUGCUCUCGCCACCGUGGCAGCAGCAGCAGAAGCAGCAGCAGCAGCAGCAGCACCGAGCUCCCGCUUUGUGCUUCUCUCAUGCAGCCGUGAUGCAGAAGCACCAGGUGAGUGGCGACAACCUACCGACUCUGAUCCAUCCUUGACCCUCACUCGCCAAAUGGCCACAACUUUUCUACAUUUUCAUUUGUAAAACAAAAGCAAGAAACGAUCCAUGUGGGAGAGCGUUUAACCACAAACAUGCUCCACUUUUCCACCCCCACCAAAAUACUUUCCAGAAAGUAAAUGCAAUGUUUAUCAUGCUAACAUCAACACAUGACAAUGCUUCACUAUUGUUAUGAUAACAACAACAACAAUAAUGAUGAUAAUGACCACACUAACAAUAAUAACAAUCAUAAUGUCUAUUAUGGCCAGGCAGGUAGGCAGGUAGGCAGGUAGGCAGGCAGGCAGCCAGCCAGCCAGCCAGCCAGCCAGCCAGCCAGCCAGCCAGCCAGCCAGCCAGCCAGCCAGCCAGCCAGGCACCAGCGCCCUGCCCUGCCCUGCCCUGCCCUGCCCUGCCCUGCCCUGCCCUGGCCGGCCAUACUUGAGAGAUCAAGGGUUACCAAGGUGCUUGCCGGAACCCGGGCCUCAAUGCCAGCCACAAAAUACUCAUUUCCUUUGCACGCUAGCUUGUUGGAGUGGGGAUUCAGUCGGGGUCACCGACACGGGUUUGUUCCCCCCCCCGUUUCCGUCUCGAAUGCAAACAA